CUGGGCGGCGGCCUAACACAUGCAAGUCGAGCGGCAGCGGAAGUAGCUUGCUACUUUGCCGGCGAGCGGCGGACGGGUGAGUAAUGUCUGGGAAACUGCCUGAUGGAGGGGGAUAACUACUGGAAACGGUAGCUAAUACCGCAUAACGUCGCAAGACCAAAGAGGGGGACCUUCGGGCCUCUUGCCAUCAGAUGUGCCCAGAUGGGAUUAGCUAGUAGGUGGGGUAACGGCUCACCUAGGCGACGAUCCCUAGCUGGUCUGAGAGGAUGACCAGCCACACUGGAACUGAGACACGGUCCAGACUCCUACGGGAGGCAGCAGUGGGGAAUAUUGCACAAUGGGCGCAAGCCUGAUGCAGCCAUGCCGCGUGUAUGAAGAAGGCCUUCGGGUUGUAAAGUACUUUCAGCGGGGAGGAAGGUGUUGAGGUUAAUAACCUCAGCAAUUGACGUUACCCGCAGAAGAAGCACCGGCUAACUCCGUGCCAGCAGCCGCGGUAAUACGGAGGGUGCAAGCGUUAAUCGGAAUUACUGGGCGUAAAGCGCACGCAGGCGGUCUGUCAAGUCAGAUGUGAAAUCCCCGGGCUCAACCUGGGAACUGCAUUCGAAACUGGCAGGCUAGAGUCUUGUAGAGGGGGGUAGAAUUCCAGGUGUAGCGGUGAAAUGCGUAGAGAUCUGGAGGAAUACCGGUGGCGAAGGCGGCCCCCUGGACAAAGACUGACGCUCAGGUGCGAAAGCGUGGGGAGCAAACAGGAUUAGAUACCCUGGUAGUCCACGCCGUAAACGAUGUCGACUUGGAGGUUGUGCCCUUGAGGCGUGGCUUCCGGAGCUAACGCGUUAAGUCGACCGCCUGGGGAGUACGGCCGCAAGGUUAAAACUCAAAUGAAUUGACGGGGGCCCGCACAAGCGUGGAGCAUGUGGUUUAUUUCGAUGCAACGCGAAAACCUUACCUACUCUUGACAUCCAGAGAACUUUCCAGAGAUGGAUUGGUGCCUUCGGGAACUCUGAGACAGUGCUGCAUGGCUGUCGUCAGCUCGUGUUGUGAAUGUGGGUAAGUCCCGCAACGAGCGACAACCCAUUAUCUUUGUUGCAGCGUUCCGGCGGAACUCAAAGGAACUGCAGUGAAUAACCUGGAGGAGGUGGGAUUGA
rnacentral:rRNA from 1 species